rnacentral:lncRNA from 1 species
UUUUGGUUCAUAUGUCAGAGUUAAUUCUUUUAUCUAUCAAGCUUCACUAAGCUCGUUCUUAACGGCAUCAGUUCUUUCAUCAAGAAACUUCUUUUCCAAAAAGAAUGCCUUAAGAUUCACGAACAUCUCAUGUCCAUUGAGAAGGUAAAAACAAUAUUUUUAAAAUGAUAUUUAUCAGAUCAAGAUCUAAGAUAUUCGAUUUAUGAACGUUUCACAUAAGUCCGACAUCUCAAACCCUAAAGUAAGAGAGUAUUGAAUUAUCCAAGUCCAUAUCUCAUAUGAAGAUUUGGUGACUGAUUUACUCACAACAUUCUUGAGCAC